GAAAUGCGAUAAGUAGUGUGAAUUGCAGAAUUCAGUGAGUCAUCGAAUCUUUGAACGCACAUUGCGCUUCCCGGCAUUCCGAGAAGCAUGCCCGUUUCAGAACCAUCUCAAUCUCACCAAGCACGGGAUGUGCCCUGCAGUCGUCCCGAUGCCAGUGGAAAUGGGCCUCCUAGCCUUCUGUGCCAGGGCCUGAAAGACGUUGCGCGGCACCCAUCGUGAUGUAUCGGUCGGCGGACCCCGGAGCAACAGAAUUAUCCCUGUCCAACUCCUGUUUGGUCGCUGAUGGACUGUCGGUGGUUGCGGCGCUCUCCCACAUCAGCCCGGGUCGUUGAGCGCGGUUCGCAAUCGCGACCAGGCUUUUUCUUGGUCUGAAAUCGGGUAAGAAAACCCGCUGAACUUA
rnacentral:misc_RNA from 1 species